rnacentral:rRNA from 1 species
AACGAACGCUGGCGGCAUGCCUAACACAUGCAAGUCGAACGAGACCUUCGGGUCUAGUGGCGCACGGGUGCGUAACGCGUGGGAACCUGCCCUUAGGUUCGGAAUAACUCCCCGAAAGGGGUGCUAAUACCGGAUAAUGUCUUCGGACCAAAGAUUUAUCGCCUUUGGAUGGGCCCGCGUUGGAUUAGCUAGUUGGUAGGGUAAAAGCCUACCAAGGCGACGAUCCAUAGCUGGUCUGAGAGGAUGAUCCGCCACACUGGGACUGAGACACGGCCCAGACUCCUACGGGAGGCAGCAGUGGGGAAUACUGGACAAUGGGCGAAAGCCUGAUCAAGCAAUGCCGCGUGAGUGAUGAAGGCCUUAGGGUUGUAAAGCUCUCUUACCCGGGAUGAUAAUGACAGUACCGGGAGAAUAAGCUCCGGCUAACUCCGUG